GUGAAAUAAUAUUGUUAAACGAUGUACAGUCUAUGCAAAUAUUAUUAUCAUUGAAAACAUUGAUUUUCACCUAUAUGUGUUGUGGUUCAGGAAGCUAGGCUACUCCUGAAGGACAUGGAUCAGUGAAACAUGAACUAUUCUCAAACGGAAUGUUGACAGAUGACGUCACGUCGUGUUUUCUUACACUGUGUGAAUGUGAAUGAUUGUUACACGCGCGUUAAAAGUCUAGCAACUCUCUUCCUCAAUCAUGCGAAAUGAGUUGAACAUCUGUGCAGGCGAGGUUUGAACACGGGUUGACAAAUUUCCGAUUUGAGCAAUACGCGGUGGUUUGCAGGCUGUUUACCUUGGGGAAAAGUUCUCGGCUGCUGAAAAGCGCUUGGUUUUAUUGACCAGGAUGAAACAAUCAAAAAGUGCACUGGAAUUGAUUGACUUGAGCUUUUUGUCUGCUGAGGAAGAGGCAGCCAUCCGUCAAGUGCUUCUGAGAGAUGAAGAUUUAAAACGACUGGAGAGUGGACGAGUCAGGAAACUGAGGCAGUCAGUCCCUGACUUUCAACAGCUGAAGACUUUGACAGGUGAGUGGUUUGAAGAGCUCAGGGUCAAGCGAUACGGGCUGCAGACAGAUGUCACUGCAGUGGUGAGGUCCUCCAUGAGAUGGAAGAAAACAGCAGCUCAUAAACCCAACCCGUUCCUGAAUGAAAAGGAGGAUCACAUUACACCUUCAACGUAUUCAAAUCCAUCAGCUGACCCUAGAUUAAUUCAUCCAGCACUUAGUAAAGAGAGUUAUCAUCAAUAUACUGAUGAGGACUUUAUGGAUGGUGAGGCUUCAUCUGCUCCAAGAGUGGCUGGAAGAAAAGAAAAACUACGAGCAGAACUCAAUGGCAAUCAUGUCCUCAAUAGCACUGACCCACAAGACAAUUCAUCAGAAGCACAACCCAAAGAGCUCUCUGGUGACCAAACAACUGUUUUUCCCUUCUUAAGUGCAGUUCAAGACACUAAACCCGAAAGAGGCACCACAAAACAUGCAACAAAUCCAGAGCCAGGGCGAAAAGUUUCACUCCCUCAAGUAUUAAGUAAAGACCAAUCGUUUGAAGAGAACUGGGUGAAGAUAUCCCUCGAACCGAAUGCAGUGAAACCUAUGCAUGAUGAAAGCAAUAGUGUUGGACCUAAACAAAAAGAGGGGAAAGAUGCUUCCGGUGAUUCUGCCGAUGACCGACCAGUGGAAAUGGAAAAGAAAACACCUAAAAAAAAUGAGCUGUUGCACAAUAAAACAGCCGAUAUAAGUGCAGUAGAAGAUUUCAAAAUGUCAUCACCACCUUCAAAACCAAGUGUCAGUGACAAAACUGUGCAAAGAUAUCUUGAUGCUCAUGAAGAUAAAGAAAAAAUUAAGAAAAAGUCAUCAAAUGAUCAUAAUUUAGCAAAAGACACUAACAAUACAAGUCAAGUUUUAGCAGAAUUAAGCCAAGACUAUCUUUCAAUGACAGAUAAUGGGAAAUUAGUGCACAUUGGAAAUGCUGGAGAGCACGUUGACACUAAACAUAACGACAAAACUGCUGUUGAACCAAUUCGACCAGCUAAACCUACAAGUGAAGAUGUUGCUGGGCUGGGUCAAGGUUCUUCAGAGAUAAAAGUUGAGGAGGACAAUGCUGAAACCGAGCAGGGGAUGAAGUCAGAUAUAGUACUAAGUGUUCUGGCCAGAGCUCAAAAGACAAGACCACCCGUCCUGCAGAAGAACACUGCUCUGGAGCCAAAGCAGGAGACUAGAGAUGAUAUGGUUCCCACAAUAGUCAUUAUGCCAUCUGAAUCUCCAGAUCCAACAAAAAUGAAAGGACAGAAACAUGGCGUGUCAGAUCUAGAGGCUUUACUUGAGGGAUCCACAUCUAAAACUCCUUCCUACACUGCAAAUGCUCGGGGGGUGAGUUACUGUUCAUCCUGCAAAUGUAAUUUAUACUGUUGCAGCACUUUAAAUAUCAUUUCAUCAUUCCUUUAUAUCCUCCACUGCAGUGUGCAGUAUUGA
rnacentral:lncRNA from 1 species